rnacentral:rRNA from 1 species
CAGCAGCCGCGGUAAUACGGAGUGUGCAAGCGUUACUCGGAAUCACUGGGCAUAAAGAGCACGUAGGCGGGUCGGCAAGUCGAUUGUGAAAGCCCUCGGCCCAACCGAGGAAUUGCGGUCGAAACUGCCAGUCUUGAGGACGAGAGGGGAGAGCGGAACUUCUGGUGGAGCGGUGAAAUGCGUAGAUAUCAGAAGGAACAUCGGUGGUGAAAACGGCUCUCUGGCUCGUUUCUGACGCUGAGGUGCGAAAGCUAGGGUAGCGAACGGGAUUAGAUACCCCGGUAGUCCUAGCCCUAAACGAUGUGCACUAGGCAGGGGGGGUCCGAUGCCCUCCUUGUUGGAGCUAAUGUGUUAAGUGCACCGCCUGGGGAGUACAGUCGCAAGGCCGAAACUCAAAGGAAUUGACGGGGGCUCACACAAGCGGUGGAGCAUGUGGUUUAAUUCGAAGCAACGCGCAAAACCUUACCUGGGUUUGACAUGCACGGAUUAGCUCAUGGAAACAUGAGUGACGCUCGCAAGAGUGGAACGUGCACAGGUGCUGCAUGGCUGUCGUCAGCUCGUGUCGUGAGAUGUCGGGUUAAGUCCCUUAACGAGCGAAACCCUUGCCGUUAGUUGCCAGCGGGUCAUGCCGGGGACUCUAGCGGGACUGCCGUGGUCAACACGGAGGAAGGUGGGGAUGACGUCAAGUCCUCAUGGCCUUUAUGCCCAGGGCUACACACGUGCUACAAUGGUCGGUACAAAGCGUCGCGAACUCGCAAGGGUAAGCUAAUCGCAAAAAGCCGGCCUCAGUACAGAUUGUGGGCUGCAAUUCGCCCGCAUGAAGUUGGAAUCGCUAGUAAUCGCGUAUCAGCAUUGACGCGGUGAAUAUGUUCCUGAGCCUUGUACACACCGCCCGUCAAGCCACGGAAGCCGGUAGUGCCCGUAGUCGCUGACCCAACCUUCGGGAGGGAGGCGCCGACGGUAAGACCGGUGACUGGGACUAAGUCGUAACAAGGUAGCCGUA